UACGUAGGGGGCUAGCGUUGUCCGGAUUUAUUGGGCGUAAAGAGCGUGUAGGCGGCCAGGUAGGUCUGGUGUGAAAACUCGAGGCUUAACCUUGAGAUGUCAUCGGAAACCAUUUGGCUAGAGUCCGGAAGAGGAAAGUGGAAUUCCUGGUGUAGCGGUGAAAUGCGCAGAUAUCAGGAAGAACACCGAUGGCGAAGGCAGGUCUCUGGGCCACUACUGACGCUGAGAAGCGAAAGCAUGGGGAGCGAACAGG
rnacentral:rRNA from 1 species